GAUGAACGCUAGCGGCAGGCUUAACACAUGCAAGUCGAGGGGCAUCGGGAGUAGCAAUACUUGCCGGCGACCGGCGCAAGGGUGCGUAACGCGUGAGCAACAUGCCUAUAACAGUGGGAUAACCCGGAGAAAUUCGGACUAAUACCGCAUAGAGACAUUAUGGAACAUUUUAUAGUGUUGAAAGCUUCGGCGGUUAUAGAUUGGCUCGCGUGACAUUAGUUAGUUGGUGAGGUAACGGCUCACCAAGACGACGAUGUCUAGGGGUUCUGAGAGGAAGGUCCCCCACACUGGAACUGAGACACGGUCCAGACUCCUACGGGAGGCAGCAGUGAGGAAUAUUGGACAAUGGGCGGAAGCCUGAUCCAGCCAUGCCGCGUGCAGGAAGAAGGUUCUAUGGAUUGUAAACUGCUUUUGUACGGGAGCAAUAAUGGUGACGUGUCAUCAGAUGAGAGUACUGUACGAAUAAGCAUCGGCUAACUCCGUGCCAGCAGCCGCGGUAAUACGGAGGAUGCGAGCGUUAUCCGGAUUUAUUGGGUUUAAAGGGUGCGUAGGCGGCGCCAUAAGUCAGUGGUGAAAUAUUUCAGCUUAACUGAGAGACUGCCAUUGAUACUGUGGUGCUAGGAAUUGGUUGAAGUAUGCGGAAUGUGUGGUGUAGCGGUGAAAUGCAUAGAUAUCACACAGAACACCGAUAGCGAAGGCAGCAUACUAAGCCAAAUUUGACGCUGAGGCACGAAAGUGUGGGGAUCAAACAGGAUUAGAUACCCUGGUAGUCCACACUGUAAACGAUGAUAACUAGUUGUUGGAUUAUUGGAUUCAGUGACUAAGCGAAAGCGAUAAGUUAUCCACCUGGGGAGUACGACCGCAAGGUUGAAACUCAAAGGAAUUGACGGGGGCCCGCACAAGCGGAGGAACAUGUGGUUUAAUUCGAUGAUACGCGAGGAACCUUACCCGGGCUCGAACGGUGCAGGAAUGGCAGAGAGAUUUGUCAGCCAGCGAUGGUCUGUAUCGAGGUGCUGCAUGGUUGUCGUCAGCUCGUGCCGUGAGGUGUCGGCUUAAGUGCCAUAACGAGCGCAACCCUUGUUGUUAGUUGCCAACGGGUCAAGCCGGGGACUCUAGCGAGACUGCUGCCGUAAGGUGGAGGAAGGGGGGGAUGACGUCAAAUCAGCACGGCCCUUACGUCCGGGGCGACACACGUGUUACAAUGGGGGGUACAGAGGGCAGCUAUCCGGUAACGGAAUGCUAAUCUCGAAAGCCUCUCUCAGUUCGGAUCGGAGUCUGCAACUCGACUUCGUGAAGUUGGAUUCGCUAGUAAUCGCGCAUCAGCCAUGGCGCGGUGAAUACGUUCCCGGGCCUU
rnacentral:rRNA from 1 species